GACGAACGCUGGCGGCGUGCCUAAUACAUGCAAGUAGAACGCUGAAGGAGGAGCUUGCUUCUCUGGAUGAGUUGCGAACGGGUGAGUAACGCGUAGGUAACCUGCCUGGUAGCGGGGGAUAACUAUUGGAAACGAUAGCUAAUACCGCAUAACAGUAGAUGUUGCAUGACAUUUGCUUAAAAGGUGCAAUUGCAUCACUACCAGAUGGACCUGCGUUGUAUUAGCUAGUUGGUGGGGUAACGGCUCACCAAGGCGACGAUACAUAGCCGACCUGAGAGGGUGAUCGGCCACACUGGGACUGAGACACGGCCCAGACUCCUACGGGAGGCAGCAGUAGGGAAUCUUCGGCAAUGGACGGAAGUCUGACCGAGCAACGCCGCGUGAGUGAAGAAGGUUUUCGGAUCGUAAAGCUCUGUUGUAAGAGAAGAACGAGUGUGAGAGUGGAAAGUUCACACUGUGACGGUAUCUUACCAGAAAGGGACGGCUAACUACGUGCCAGCAGCCGCGGUAAUACGUAGGUCCUGAGCGUUGUCCGGAUUUAUUGGGCGUAAAGCGAGCGCAGGCGGUUAGAUAAGUCUGAAGUUAAAGGCUGUGGCUUAACCAUAGUACGCUUUGGAAACUGUUUAACUUGAGUGCAAGAGGGGAGAGUGGAAUUCCAUGUGUAGCGGUGAAAUGCGUAGAUAUAUGGAGGAACACCGGUGGCGAAAGCGGCUCUCUGGCUUGUAACUGACGCUGAGGCUCGAAAGCGUGGGGAGCAAACAGG
rnacentral:rRNA from 1 species